AGGUGCAGUGGUGUUCACCUGUAAUCCCCAGCUACUUGGGAAACUAAGGCAGGAGGAUCACUUGAGUUCAAGAGUUUGGCACCAGACUGGGUAACAUAGUGAGACCUGGUUCUU
rnacentral:sRNA from 1 species